rnacentral:tRNA from 1 species
GCUCAGGUGGCGAAACUGGUAGACGCGUACGCUUGAGGGGCGUAUGGGAGCAAUCCUGUGGAGGUUCAAGUCCUCUCCUGAGCACCA